rnacentral:rRNA from 1 species
UACGGCCGUACCAUGCUGAAUAUACCGGUUCUCGUUAGAUCACCGAAGUUAAGCAUCAUUGGGCGCGGUCAGUACUUGGGUGGGUGACUACCUGGGAACACUGCGUGCCGUU